UAGGAGGUAGUAUAGUGGAAGUACGAGGAAUUUUGGAAUCUUAGGUGUGGGUUCGAGUCCCAUUUUUCUAUUGUAG
rnacentral:tRNA from 1 species